rnacentral:pre_miRNA from 1 species
AAUGUUUGACGCCGUUGGCUUAUUUAAACAUGUUUGACCGUUCGUCUUAUUCAAAAAAUUUAAGCAAUUAUUAAUUCUUUUUCUACCAUUUGAUUCAUCGUUAAAUAUACUUUUAUGAUACAUAUAGUUUUAUAUAUUUCACAAAAGUUUUUGAAUAAGACGAAUGGUCAAACAUGUUUAAUAAAGUUAACGGCGUCAAUCAUU